rnacentral:miRNA from 1 species
AACCUCACCGACCAGAAGGGAUUCCUUCCGGUCGAUGAGGUGUAACAACCUCAUCAACCGGAAGGAAUCCCUUCUGGUCGAUGAGGUG